UACAGAGACUGCAAGCGUUAUUCGGAUUCACUGGGCGUAAAGGGUGCGCAGGCGGCCGUGUGUGUCAGAUGUGAAAGCCCGGGCCUUAACCCCGGAACUGCGUCUGAAACUACACGGCUAGAGCAUUGGAGAGGGAAGUGGAAUUCAUGGUGUAGCAGUGAAAUGCGUAGAUAUCAUGAGGAACACCAGAGGCGAAGGCGACUUCCUGGACAAUAGCUGACGCUCAGGCACGAAAGCGUGGGUAGCAAAAGGG
rnacentral:rRNA from 1 species